rnacentral:lncRNA from 1 species
CAUAAGAUCUGAUCUUAAAACUCUUAUAAAUAGAUUUAUAACAUAAAUUUAUAUGCAUAAAAAUCUUAAUCUAAUAUUACAAGCAUUUGAACAAGAACAGCAAUUAGUGAUAGAUCUAAUCUACUACUUCUAGGGUUCCAAACCUAAUAUCUGAGCAUGGAUAGUUGAUUUUCACAAUUGAGAAUGUAGAUCUGGAAGUCCUCUCUGGUCGCUCAUAGUCACACAAGCAUCCGACCUCUACAGAUGGUCCACAUGAAGUUCUCGGACCGAUCAGUCCUCCACGGGAGUGCUAACUCAUGC